AAAGUGUCAAAAUGAUUCUAAUCCUUGGGUCAUUCGUCUUUUUGAACGGGAGAGCCCAACUGCGCCCCUGCUCCCAUCUUUCUUUUCACCACCAUAGCUCAGUUUUAGUAUUUAUGAGCCCCGUUGGGACCGACC
ensembl:ncRNA VC5.13 ncRNA